rnacentral:rRNA from 1 species
UACGGGGGGGCAAGCGUUGUUCGGAAUUACUGGGCGUAAAGGGCUCGUAGGUGGCCAACUAAGUCAGACGUGAAAUCCCUCGGCUUAACCGGGGAACUGCGUCUGAUACUGGAUGGCUUGAGUUCGGGAGAGGGAUGCGGAAUUCCAGGUGUAGCGGUGAAAUGCGUAGAUAUCUGGAGGAACACCGGUGGCGAAGGCGGCAUCCUGGACCGGUAUUGACGCUGAUGCGCGAAAGCCAGGGGAGCAAACGGGG